CUCACUACACAGACAUGGAAAACAAUCUUACCUAAAUGUGUGGAAGCUCAUUUAUUUGAGUACAUUUGCUUCGGUAGUGACUGUAGUGUAUGUUUUCACUAAUGCAUGAAAAGAUACUUCAUGAAGUUCACACUGGAUCAGACUGUCUGAAGGACGCCGAGCGGCUAGAACCACUGAUUCACAAAAGCAGUAUCCAGAUCAUCCAGACAGGUUUGACUCCUGAACUGAGGUCAUGUUUAGAGACAGUGUGAGUGAACGCUGUUACUGGGAGGUGGAGUGGAAAGGGAAGGUUGGGUGUAUCUAUAGCAGUGGCUUAUAAGAGCAUCAGUAGAAAAGGACUCGGUCUGGAGAGUGCAGCCGGACGCAAUGAUCAGUCCUGGAGUCUGUUCUUUUCUCCAAUCUAUUGUUCAUUCAUUCAUUAUAAUUCAGAGAUGAUUGUGUCUGUUCUCCCGAGUUCUUCUAGAGUAGGAGUGUAUGUGGAUCACAGUGCAGGAAUUCUGUCCUUCUACAGCAUCUCAAGCGACACGAUGAAUCUCAUCCACAGAGUUCACACCACAUUCACUCAACCUCUCUAUCCUAUGUUUGAAGUAUACUGUAAGCCCGAACAGUACUACUAGCUUAUAAAGACUGAGGUCACUACAGUUAAAAUCUCUUGCUGAGUUAAUCCACCUUUAAACUAUUAAUGUCUAUGAACAAAUAUGUAUUUUUAUGUUUGUGUGCCUCAGCAUUUUUGACGGAACACCGCUGGUUCACUCACUAUUUUUAAGUGUACCGUUGAUCACGUGAUAUGACGUCAUGACGUGCUGCGCUUACUGACGUUACCAGAAAAAUCUAUCCAAGAUGGCUACCCUCUCGAGCGACCUGGUAUCAAGCAUGAAGCAACUUGUUGUGGAAGAAGUGCAGUGAGCAUCCCCCAAAACCAAGAUCAGUUAUUUUAGGCAGUCAGCAGUGAAUGUAUGGACACAGAAGACUUUGAUCUUUUUUGAAAAACCUACAUUGUCACCAGAGAGCAACUUUAUCUGACCAACUUGGGUUGAUGUAUGCAUUGCAUUUGGACUAUCCCAAGAAACUCAUUCACACUUUUACAUUCUUACAGAAAAUCCUAAUGGGUCUUGAUGAUGGUAUACCACUUAAAUCCUGCCAACUGAGUCUCAAAAAUGACAUGUUAAUGAAAUAGUAGGAUAACUUAAGAGUUGUGUUUACAAGAAAAUACACAUGUCUGCAUGUUGAUGUGUUCUUGGGGUUCCCAGUAUGGUAACUUUAUAGUAUGUUGUUGAACACCAUGGUAGUCAAAGCAUUUGAAACUGUUUACAUUUGACAGAUUAUGUCUUGCCCACCAAAUCUAACGUAGUUGCUGUUGUUUAUACUUAUUGGUUGUACACCAACUUGAUGCUCUGAAUCCUAAAAUGAUGUGAGAUGUGCAUUUUCAUAUUUUGUUUUUAUAGGUUUUUACAAUCAGGAAAGAUUAUAUGUCUUGACUUUGUGUUUUGAUAAGUUUAUUUAUUUACUUUUUAUUUUUAUUUUUUUAAUUCCAUUUGCACUUUGAUGGUCAUGGCUGUUACUAAUGCUGCUUUAAGAAAGUUUUGUAUUAAGCACUUGAAGAUGCUCAGUUCCUGAUUGUCUUGUUCCUGUUUGAUAUGUAGAGAUACAUAUGUACACACACACACACACACACAAACACAAACGCACAACCAUACACUACAUGAGUUUAACUAAAUGUUAGUUAUAUUUGUAGCAAGAGCAGAGGUGUUUAAUUUUGCUCUCUAUGUAAGUGUUCAUUCCAACUAAAUACUUCCAGUGAACCAGUGAAACUUAAAUAAAUUUCACUGGUUAACACACCUACAGCUAUUGGGUAGGUGGUGAAACCAGUAUGUGCCUUGAGUCACUUAGCUCAUCAUGGCACAGACGCCUCUGAGCUAGAACAAAGUUUUAUAAAAAUGAAUGCUGUUGAUGUUCUGACAUGUUUGAAUAAA